rnacentral:rRNA from 1 species
UGGCGGACGGGUGAGUAACGCGUGGAAAACCUGCCGUAUACUGGGGGAUAACACUUAGAAAUAGGUGCUAAUACCGCAUAAGCGCACAGCUUCGCAUGAAGCGGUGUGAAAAACUCUGGUGGUAUACGAUGGUUCCGCGUCUGAUUAGCUAGUUGGUGGGGUAAUGGCCUACCAAGGCAACGAUCAGUAGCCGGCCUGAGAGGGCGAACGGCCACAUUGGGACUGAGACACGGCCCAAACUCCUACGGGAGGCAGCAG